AGGGGACUAUACGUGUACCUGCCCAUGUAUGUUUGCACAUAAGCUGGCAUACAUGACUGGCGAAAUUACCAAUGGACCCCCUCACCAUGACUUGGUUGAUCGCCUAUGGUAUCUGUAAGUUUCAUUUUCUUCUCCAAGAUGUAACCUGCAGUAUGCAUUGACAAUAUAACAGUUCAGAUGUCACUCCAAAUAGCCAGUUUCCCAAACCCCUCCUUUAAAGUGCAGGCAUUGUACUUCCCACCUCCUGGACUCAAGUCUGGCUACCCAGUUUCCCUGAAUCCCUUCACAAAAUAUUACCUUGCUCAACUCCAACAGCUCAAGUCCCAAAAACCAUUUGUCUCCACUCCUAUCUAACACCCUCACAUAUGCCUGCUGCAUGCAUAUAUACUGAUAUAACAAAAAUUAAUAGGUAGUAGGUUGGUAGACAGCAACCGCCCAGGGAGGUACUACCGUCCUGCCAAGUGAGUGUAAAACGAAAGCCUGUAAUUGUUUUACAUGAUGGUAGAUUGCUGUGUCCUUUUUUCUGUCUCAUGAACAUGCAAGAUUUCAGGUACGUCUUGCUACUUCUACUUACACUUAGGUCACACUACACAUACAUGUACAAGCACAUAUAUACACACCCCUCUGGGUUUUCUUCUAUUUCAUUCUAGUUCUUAUUCUUGUUUAUUUC